GGCGAACGCUGGCGGCGUGCUUAACACAUGCAAGUCGAACGGAAAGGCCCUGCUUUUGUGGGGUGCUCGAGUGGCGAACGGGUGAGUAACACGUGAGUAACCUGCCCUUGACUUUGGGAUAACUUCAGGAAACUGGGGCUAAUACCGGAUAGGAGCUCCUGCUGCAUGGUGGGGGUUGGAAAGUUUCGGCGGUUGGGGAUGGACUCGCGGCUUAUCAGCUUGUUGGUGGGGUAGUGGCUUACCAAGGCUUUGACGGGUAGCCGGCCUGAGAGGGUGACCGGCGACAUUGGGACUGAGAUACGGCCCAGGCUCCUACGGGAGGCAGCAGUGGGGAAUAUUGCACAAUGGGCGGAAGCCUGAUGCAGCAACGCCGCGUGCGGGAUGACGGCCUUCGGGUUGUAAACCGCUUUCGCCUGUGACGAAGCGUGAGUGACGGUAAUGGGUAAAGAAGCACCGGCUGACUACGUG
rnacentral:rRNA from 1 species